CAUUUGCCAAGCGCGUCUUCAUUAAUCAAGAACGAAAGUCAGAGGUUCGAAGGCGAUCAGAUACCGCCCUAGUUCUGACCGUAAACGAUGCCAACUAGCGAUCCGCCGGCGGCUCAACGGCCCUGGUGGGGAGCUUCCCGGAAACGAAAGUCUUCCGGUUCCGGGGGAAGUAUGGUUGCAAAGCUGAAACUUAAAGGAAUUGACGGAAGGGCACCACCAGGAGUGGAGCCUGCGGCUUAAUUUGACUCAACACGGGAAAACUCACCCGGCCCGGACACCGUGAGGAUUGACAGAUUGAUAGCUUUUUCAUGAUUCGGUGGUUGGUGGUGCAUGGCCGUUCUUAGUUCGUGGAUCGAUUUGUCUGGUUUAUUCCGAUAACGAGCGAGACUCCAGCCUACUAACUAGUACGGGCAUUGCCUCUGUGCCCGGCACUUCUUAGAGGGAUUGGCUGCGUCUAGCGGCACGAAACGGAGCAAUAACAGGUCUGUGAUGCCCUUAGAUGUCCGGGGCUGCACGCGCGCUACACUGGCAAAGGCAGCGUGCUUGUCCGUCUCCGAAAGGAGCCGGUAAACCCUUGAAAAUUUGCCGUGAUUGGGAUCGGAAAUUGCAAUUAUUUUCCGUGAACGAGGAAUUCCUAGUAAGUGCGAGUCAUCAGCUCGCGUUGAUUACGUCCCUGCCCUUUGUACACACCGCCCGUCGCUGCCUAGAACUGAGCCAUUUCGAGAAUAUUCGGGAUCGCUGGUUGCGCGCCUCUCGGGGCACGCCUCCGGCCAGAGAACGAACGUAAUCGCAGUGGCUUGAACCGGGCAAAAGU
rnacentral:rRNA from 1 species